GGGGUGCGUGAUAGACUUACCUCCACGUGGUGCACCCCGGCAACGUAUGCUCAUACGGCAAAAAAGUCUAU
rnacentral:ribozyme from 1 species